CCCUUAGAUGUUCUGGGCCGCACGCGCGCUACACUGACGGAGGCAGCGAGCAUGUCCUUCGCCGAGAGGUGUGGGGAAUCUUGUGAGUCUCCGUCGUGCUGGGGAUAGAUGGUUGCAAUUGUCGAUCUUGAACGAGGAAUUCCUAGUAAGCGCGAGUCAUCAGCUCGCGCUGAUUACGUCCCUGCCCUUUGUACACACCGCCCGUCGCUCCUACCGAUCGAAGAGUUAGGUGAAUUGUUUUGAUCGAUAAGAUUUGACUAUGGUCAACUCUCGUUGUGAAAUUCUGUGAAUCUGACUGUUUAGAGGAAGGAAAAGUCGUAACA
rnacentral:rRNA from 1 species